ensembl:lncRNA
GGCCCCAUGAAAGAAAAAAAGGCUUAAAAAUAAUAGUUUGUUUAAUACGGCAAUUUUUUUUUUUUUUUUUUCAUUAAAUAAAAACCUUUUUAGACAAAUUUUGUAAUCAUUGUGUAAAAUUAGCUACAGGGCAAUCGUGAGAAUCUGCUGUAAAAUAUGUAAUUUUCCACGAUCGGAGGAUUCGGAGCAUGUUUCAUGAAAUGACAUGGCUAAAAACCACGAGAAAGUUACACCAUGUGUGCAUUUGGGGUUUUCCGUGUUAUAACUCGAUGAAGUUACGAGCGAAAAUGCUACAUGACAGCUACCUUACAUUUUUUUUUUUUUUUACUAAACUACAUGCCACCAGUGCAGUUUUAUGUGUUAUAAAUUACUGAGGAAUAUCUUUAGAUAUAAAUGACGGAUUCUUAUGGGCUGCGUCGGAUGAUAUCAUUUAUGAUGAAAUGAUGAUAUCAUUUACUCCAUUUAGCAGCGCGUCAUGGCAACAAAAUAACGUUAAGCCAACAACAAAAAUACAAAGAGGCGACUUGAUAAAUUCACUGAAUUAGUUCCUUCGCUCUAACAGUCUACAAACCGAGACAGAUGGCAUGUAAGGCUGUUGCCCACCGGAAAGACUUUCACUGGAGAGUUAGACUUUGAACCCUGACAGCAGCUGACUUCACCUCAAUGAAGAAAAUUUAUGGACUUUGCUUGCCUUAAAAUGGACACCAGCUUGAAGAUGGUGUUCUCCUGUGCCAAGAACCAGUAUAAAACAUUUCGCCAGUUACUUUCGCUUUCAGUGUGUGGGACUAUUAGUAUUAAUAAAGGAACAUGAAUGAAUGAGACAGUAAAGAGCGGGACAUGCUUGAUAUUAAAAAGAUGGGCAGAAUUAAUUAAACUUAAAGCCACGAAACAGAACUCAAUCCGCUUCUGACUAGAUGUUGUCUCUCUCUCUCGCUCUCUGUCUCUCACACACACACACACACACACACACACACACACACACACACACACACACACACACACACACACACACACACACACACACACACAGAGACACAGACAGACAGAGAAUUCUCAAGAGAAUUCAUCCCCCUGUAAAUCAACCUCAAAGUAAAAGCCCUGCACAAUUUAUAAUGGAUAGCUGCAUAUUUGUGUGUUUUAGUUUCCAUUGUCCUAAUAAAGUUACUAUUAAAACGUUAUUGGAAAAAAAAGCAUUUUAUAUAAUAUUAAGCUUUAUAUACAUAUGGUGGAAUGGUUCAACUUUAUCACGGUUCAGUUUGUAUCACGGUUUUAUAGUCACGGUUUCGGUAUGGUGUGUGCUGUGUUUAUGGAAAAAAACAAACAGUUUAUGGACAGAAAACAUAUGUGAUAUAUGAUAUGUGAGAUGAUCUUUCUGGCACAUGAUUAGCUGCACCAGUAGUUAGACAGUGUUAAAUUCUGAUGUUAAUAUUGUAACAGCUGUAACCUCAUGUGCAUUGGGGAAUUCCAAUAUUUGAAGAGAAUAUCUGUUUCAGUACUAACGCCUGUGAUAUUCCUUGCAUGAAUGAUAUAUUAAGCAUGUAUGUGGGGUCACGAGAAUAGUACUAUGCCACUAAAAUUGCAAUCAACAAAGUAAACUAUUUAAAAGUAAACUAUUUAAAAGAAAUUAAAAGUAAUUUCUACAUAUACUAAUAUAUUUACAUUUCAA